CCCUUAGAUGUCCUGGGCCGCACGCGCGUUACACUGAUGCAUUCAACGAGCUUAUAACCUUGGCCGAGAGGCCUGGGCAAUCUUGUUAACGUGCAUCGUGAUAGGGAUAGAUUAUUGAAAUUAUUAAUCUUGAACGAGGAAUUCCUAGUAAACGCAGAUCAUCAAUCUGCAUUGAUUACGUCCCUGCCCUUUGUACACACCGCCCGUCGCACCUACCGAUUGGAUUGUCCGGUGAAGCCUCGGGAUUGUGGUUCUUGCCGCUUUAUUGUGGCGUGACCGCGAGAACUUGUCUAAACCUUAUCAUCUAGAGGAAGGUGAAGUCGUAACA
rnacentral:rRNA from 1 species